rnacentral:rRNA from 1 species
GAUUAACGCUGGCGGCGUGCAUGAAACAUGCAAGUCGAGCGCGGUGCGAGCUUGCUCGCAUCUAGCGGCGCACGGGUGAGUAACACGUGAGCAACCUACCUCGGAGCCCGGGAUAGCCCUGAGAAAUCAGGAUUAAUACCGGAUGAUGUCACCGUGGGGCAUCCCAUGGCGAAGAAAGGCUUCGGCCACUCCAAGACGGGCUCGCGGCCUAUUAGCUUGUUGGUGGGUAACGGCCGUACCAAGGCGAAGAUGGGUAGCGUGGUCUGAGAGGACGAUCAGCCACACUGGGACU